GCCUACGGGGCGCAGCAGUGAGGAAUAUUGGUCAAUGGGCGCGAGCCUGAACCAGCCAAGUAGCGUGAAGGACGACUGCCCUAUGGGUUGUAAACCUCUUUUAUAAGGGAAGAAUAAAUGCUACGUGUAGCAUGAUGCCUGUACCUUAUGAAUAAGCAUCGGCUAACUCCGUGCCAGCAGCCGCGGUAAUACGGAGGAUGCGAGCGUUAUCCGGAUUCAUUGGGUUUAAAGGGUGCGUAGGCGGUUUUUUAAGUUAGUGGUUAAACGUCGGGGCUUCACCUUGAUUUGCCAUUAAUACUGUAGAA
rnacentral:rRNA from 1 species